rnacentral:rRNA from 1 species
UACACUCCUGCGGGAGGCAGCAGUGAGGAAUAUUGGACAAUGGGUGGAAGCCUGAUCCAGCCAUCCCGCGUGCAGGAAGACGGCCCUAUGGGUUGUAAACUGCUUUUAUCUGGGGAUAAACCUACUUACGUGUAAGUAGCUGAAGGUACCAGAAGAAUAAGCACCGGCUAACUCCGUGCCAGCAGCCGCGGUAAUACGGAGGGUGCAAGCGUUAUCCGGAUUUAUUGGGUUUAAAGGGUCCGUAGGCGGACUGAUAAGUCAGUGGUGAAAUCCGACAGCUUAACUGUCGAACUGCCAUUGAUACUGUUAGUCUUGAGUAAGGUUGAAGUGGCUGGAAUAAGUAGUGUAGCGGUGAAAUGCAUAGAUAUUACUUAGAACACCAAUUGCGAAGGCAGGUCACUAAGUCUUAACUGACGCUGAUGGACGAAAGCGUGGGGAGCGAACAGGAUUAGAAACCCCUGUAGUCCCAUGAU